rnacentral:snRNA from 1 species
CUGGUCAAACUGACUGGCUUG